AUUGAACGCUGGCGGCAUGCCUUACACAUGCAAGUCGAACGGUAACGCGGGGCAACCUGGCGACGAGUGGCGAACGGGUGAGUAAAGUAUCGGAACGUGCCCAAUAGUGGGGGAUAGCCCGGCGAAAGCCGGAUUAAUACCGCAUGAGACCUGAGGGUGAAAGCGGGGGACUCGCAAGAGCCUCGCGCUAAUGGAGCGGCCGAUAUCAGAUUAGGUAGUUGGUGGGGUAAAGGCCUACCAAGCCGACGAUCUGUAGCUGGUCUGAGAGGACGACCAGCCACACUGGGACUGAGACACGGCCCAGACUCCUACGGGAGGCAGCAGUGGGGAAUUUUGGACAAUGGGCGCAAGCCUGAUCCAGCCAUGCCGCGUGCGGGAAGAAGGCCUUCGGGUUGUAAACCGCUUUUGUCAGGGAAGAAAUCCUCUGGGUUAAUACCUCGGGGGGAUGACGGUACCUGAAGAAUAAGCACCGGCUAACUACGUGCCAGCAGCCGCGGUAAUACGUAGGGUGCGAGCGUUAAUCGGAAUUACUGGGCGUAAAGCGUGCGCAGGCGGUCUUGCAAGACAGGUGUGAAAUCCCCGGGCUUAACCUGGGAACUGCACUUGUGACUGCAAGGCUGGAGUACGGCAGA
rnacentral:rRNA from 1 species